GACGAACGCUGGCGGCGUGCCUAAUACAUGCAAGUAGAACGCUGAAGCAGGAGCUUGCUUCUCUGGAUGAGUUGCGAACGGGUGAGUAACGCGUAGGUAACCUGCCUGUGAGUGGGGGAUAACUAUUGGAAACGAUAGCUAAUACCGCAUAAUAGCAGUUGUUGCAUGAUAACUGUUUGAAAGGUGCAAUUGCACCGCUACCAGAUGGACCUGCGUUGUAUUGGCUGGUUGGUGGGGUAACGGCUCACCAAGGCGACGAUACAUAGCCGACCGGAGAGGGGGGUCGGCCGCACUGGGACUGAGACACGGCCCAGACGCCUACAGGAGGCAGCCGUACGGAAUCUUGGGCAAUGGGCGGAAGACUGACCGAGCAACGCCGAGGGAGUAAAGAAGGUUGUCGGGUCGUAAAGCUCUGUUGUAAGGGAAGAAAGAGUGUGAGAGUGGAAAGUUCACAAUGUGACGGUAUCUUAACAGAAAGCGACGGCUAACUACGUG
rnacentral:rRNA from 1 species